ensembl:snRNA U1 U1 spliceosomal RNA
AUACUUACCUGGCCGGGGAGAUUCCAUGCUCAAGUAUGUGGUCCUCCCUGGCUGAGGCCCUGCCAGGUGUGGGGAAUCUCGACUGCAUCAUUUCUGGAAGUGGGGGACUGCGUUCGCGCUGUUG